CAGCAGUGGGGAAUAUUGCACAAUGGGCGCAAGCCUGAUGCAGCCAUGCCGCGUGUAUGAAGAAGGCCUUCGGGUUGUAAAGUAUUUCAGCAGUGAGGAAGGUGGGUAUGUUAAUAGCAUAUUCAUUUGACGUUAGCUGCAGAAGAAGCACCGGCUAACUCCGUGCCAGCAGCCGCGGUAAUACGGAGGGUGCGAGCGUUAAUCGGAAUUACUGGGCGUAAAGCGCAUGCAGGUGGUUUGUUAAGUCAGAUGUGAAAGCCCGGGGCUCAACCUCGGAAUUGCAUUUGAAACUGGCAAACUAGAGUACUGUAGAGGGGGUAGAAUUUCAGGUGUAGCGGUGAAAUGCGUAGAGAUCUGAAGGAAUACCGGUGGCGAAGGCGGCCCCCUGGACAGAUACUGACACUCAGAUGCGAAAGCGUGGGGAGCAAACAGGAUUAGAUACCCUGGUAG
rnacentral:rRNA from 1 species